rnacentral:piRNA from 1 species
UUGGUUUACAACUUUUUUAUU